UAAAAUCAUAAACGAGAUGUGAAUCUCGCGAAAUAUAUUAAAUGCUCGAUAAGAGACUUGUUUCUCAGUAUCAGUGCAUAGCUAUUUCACACAGUCACUACAGAAUCCAAAACAAAACAUUGAAAAUGAUGCUGGCUAUUCAGUUGGGAGCCGCAUAUCAUAAGAAGGAAAGAAACAAAGACCAACCCCUUACCAAACGACCACCUUAUCUAGACCCGGAGCGCACCAGAAUUUGACGAAGCAAAAAGCUCCAAAAAAACCAAGGAUAUAGAGAAUGAAGUUAAAUUUAUAGUUCAAUGUAGAUGCAAAAUAAAAAAAGAAAAUAAUUGAUCAAUUUAUAAUAAAAAUUGGUGUUUAUGAACACUCUUGUUCUUACGCAACGUUCUAAUCAGGACUCUCAAUAGGCAAUAGAGCGUGGCGCUUUCAAUUAAUCUGCAUGUUUCAUGCGUUUUAUCCCAAAAAUUUUUCCAAGCAGUUGGCUACAAAGCUUUUAAAGUUGAACAAGUGUGUUCACAUAUGUAUAUACAGCCGUACCAUAUCGAACACUUUCAAAACUGGAGUGUUUUCGAACAUUCGGACAACAUGACCUGCCAGCGUAUCCCUCCAUCGCCUGCGGGAUUGUGUUCAAGGGACCACAAAACUUUUCUCUCGAAAACUAAUAGUGUCGCCUUACCAUAAUGCAGGACGGGUAUGAUAAGGUACUUGUACAGUUUCGUUUCAGUCCAAAGUGCAGUGUUCUAAUUAACGAAUAUUUUAUAUAUUUUGAUAUUUAAUUUAAUUUAAUUUAAUUUAAUAAAUUUAAAUUUUAUUAUUUUUAUUAGCAAUGACCUUAAGCGUUCAAAUUUCAUUUAUUUAACGUGCAGAAAAAAUUGCAUUUUAACGCUUUUAUAUAAAAUUCAAACUGUGAAAUUAAAUUAAGAAAUGUGCCAUAAAGUCAUGCGAAUCCCGCAAAAUAUAUAAAAUGCUCGCUAAGAGACAUGCUUUUCAGUAUCAGUGCAUAGCUAUUUCACACAGUCACUACAGAAUUCAAAACAAAACAUUGAAAAAUGAAGCUGAAGGAGAUGUUGAUUUUGAUGGUGGCAAUGCUGGCUAUUCAGUUGGGAGCCGCACAACGCGAACCAACUAAACCACCAAAAGAUAUAAGGGGAUAAGGCACUGAAGUAGAUCUAGACCCGGAGCGUGACAACAUCUGACCCAUUUGACGAAGCAGAACCACUAAUUUAAACCAAGGAUGUAGAAAAAGUGAAGUUAAAGUUACAGUUCAAUGUAUAUGCAAAAUAAAAAAUUAAAAAAUAA